rnacentral:rRNA from 1 species
GAUGAACGCUGGCGGCAUGCUUAACGCAUGCAAAUCGGACGGGAAGUUGUGUUUCCAGUGGUGGACGGGGGAGUAACGCGCGUAAACCUUCUCUAGUGUGCGGUACAAUAGCGGGAAACGGCUGCUAAUACCCCGUAGUACGCCGUGGAAUAGGAGGAAUCCGCCCGAGGAGGGUCUCGCGUCUGAUUAGCUAGUUUGUGAGGGAGUAGCUUACCAAGGCGAUGAUCAGUAGCUCGUCCGAGAGGAUGAUCAGCCACACUGGGACUGAGGCACGGCCCACAGUCCGGAGGGAGGCAGAAGGGGGGGAAGUUCGACACUGCGCGAAAGCGUGAAGGAGCAAUGUCGCAUGGAGGGAGAAGGGCUACUGGUCGUGAACUACUAUGCCCGGGGAAAAGGCAAUGACGGUAUCUGAGGAAUAAGCAUCGGCUAACUCUGUG